ACGAACCGUACAAACGUUACUCGGAAUUACUGGGCUUAAAGGGUGCGUAGGCUGCGCGGAAAGUUGGGUGUGAAAUCCCUCGGCUCAACCGGGGAAUUGCAUCCAAAACUGCCGUGCUCGAGGGAGACAGAGGUAAGCGGAACUCAAGGUGGAGCGGUGAAAUGCGUUGAUAUCUUGAGGAACACCGGUGGCGAAGGCGGCUUACUGGGUCUCUUCUGACGCUGAGGCACGAAAGCUAAGGUAGCAAACGGG
rnacentral:rRNA from 1 species